GACGGAGGAUGCAAGUGUUAUCCGGAAUCACUGGGCGUAAAGCGUCUGUAGGUGGUUUAAUAAGUCAACUGUUAAAUCUUGAGGCUCAACUUCAAAACCGCAGUCGAAACUAUUAGACUAGAGUAUAGUAGAGGUAAAGGGAAUUUCCAGUGGAGCGGUGAAAUGCGUAGAGAUUGGAAAGAACACCGAUGGCGAAAGCACUUUACUGGGCUAUUACUAACACUCAGAGACGAAAGCUAGGGUAGCAAAUGGG
rnacentral:rRNA from 1 species